UACGUAGGUGGCAAGCGUUGUCCGGAUUUAUUGGGUUUAAAGGGUGCGUAGGCGGCCUUGUAAGUCAGUGCUGAAAUAUCCCGGCUUAACCGGGAGGGUGGCAUUGAUACUGCAGGGCUUGAGUAAGGUUGAGGUUGGCGGAAUUGACGGUGUAGCGGUGAAAUGCUUAGAUAUCGUCAAGAACACCGAUAGUGAAGACAGCUAACUAAGCUUUAACUGACGCUGAGGCACGAAAGUGUGGGGAUCAAACAGG
rnacentral:rRNA from 1 species